UACGUAGGGGGCAAGCGUUGUCCGGAAUCAUUGGGCGUAAAGCGCGUGUAGGCGGUUCGGUAAGUCUGCUGUGAAAGUCCAGGGCUCAACCCUGGGAUGCCGGUGGAUACUGUCGGGCUAGAGUACGGAAGAGGCGAGUGGAAUCCCGGUGUAGCGGUGAAAUGCGCAGAUAUCGGGAGGAACACCAAUUGCGAAGGCAGCUCGCUGGGACGUCGACUGACGCUGAGACGCGAAAGCGUGGGGAGCAACAGG
rnacentral:rRNA from 1 species